AUCGAACUGACGAGUCCCAAAUAGGACGAAACGCGCAUCCUGGAU
rnacentral:hammerhead_ribozyme from 1 species